UCUGAGUGGUGAUCAGAUAAUAGAGUGAAACUUUCAUGGGUCAAUGCUCUCAUAAGAAACUCCCAGAGAGCUCCCUCAGUCUUCUGCCAUGAGGACAAGAAAGAGGAUGGAUUUCUGUAGGUCAAAUGAUGGGCCUUCAGGAGACAUAACCUGCUAAAACCAUAUGUCCUGGGGCGUGGGGACAACGAGCAGACUCCAUUACACGGGUUCCAGCAAUCCUCUCACCUCGGUUGAAGAGCUGAGAAAACAGAACAUUGGAGAAAAAGGGGGUCUUAGUAUAAGUCUCCUCAAGCAAGACCUCUGAGGUCUGAUCACUGAAGAAGAAGUGAUCUGAGAAUGGUGUGUGGUCCUGAGGUUGGCUCAAAGGGGAGCCAGAACAUUUGGACCACUUCAGGAUGUCAAAGACCUGUGCUCCCUUCCCACUGUCUGGAUCCUUGGCCACAUCACACCCACGUGUGUGAAGACAAGCCAAAGGGAGCAACCACAGGAUGAGUCGUCAGGAAGGAAGCACAUGAAGUCUGGAGUGGGUGGGGGCCAACUCCUGUGGUGACAGUGACAUGGACCACUACUUUCCCACUACUACUGGACCAACAAAGUGCAACUGUUCAUGCUUCAGGAUGCUGGCCUGAGAUCCACCUCAACUCUGCUCUUCACAUCAGAGAUUGGGUGGCUGGGUAUUUCAAAGCACUCUACCUGUGUUUCAGGUUCCAAGUUCCCUGGGAUCUAAGGUGGAGUCACGUAGACACUGAUGGUCUGGUUGUCUGGUCUGUGUGAUGGGGCUUAGGGAGAUGUGAAUUUGUCUGGAGAUGGAGAGGUGAACAGCAUCCAAAACAGAUGGAGAAGUGAUGACAUCA